AAAACAAUGAUAGUGACUACCACCAACCCAAACGCCAACCCUCUUCCUCGUCCUUCUCCUCCUUCCACCCCCUAAUCCCACAGGAACCGCAGCUCGACUCCCUCACCCUCCUCCUAGGCAUAAGCUGGCAACGCGUCUCGCGCACAGACGACGCUGACGUCGCAGCCGCCCUCCGCGGUUGGGAGCGGUAUAUCCAAAAUCACUACGCAACCUACAUCUCCCAGGCGGAGAUCCUGCUCAAACAUCGCGGCCUCGGGGCGUUUUUGGUUGCGGCGCAGGUUCCUGCUUCUGCUUCUGCUUCAUCGUCAUCGUCGUCGUCACCGUCGUCGUCUUCCUAUCCUUGGAUGCCAAAUACAGAUACAGAUACAAAAUAUACAGAUGCCAAUGGCACUGCGACUCGCUUCUAUCUCUUCAGCGAAGACCUGGCUGAGGCGCGGCUGGUGGGUAAUGACUGGGACUCUUGCCUGCGCAACCUGCGCGAGGUGCCGUUUCGGUAUGAAGAUGGCUCGCUGGUGCUGAGGGCUUCGUCCGCGUUAGCGUCUGCGGUGCCAGCGGCAGAGAGGGCCGUGGGAGAUAAAGGAGUGCUGGUUGGGUGUGGUGCUGGCGCUGUUGAUGCGAUCGGUAUGGAUCUGGACAUGGGGAUGGGGAUGGAUAUUGACUGGUAAUAAAAAGAAAGAAAAGAAAAGGAACAUUAAACUCAACGACGAUUUUUUUUUUUUAAAAAAAAAAAAAAAAACCGAUAUAUAUGACGCGUAAGGUGUUUUUUUAACGGUUUUCGCGCGACAUUGGAUUUUAUUUUAUUUUAUAUUUUAUAUUUUUUUUUCUUCAGGGAUAUGUCAUUCCGACAACGGCUUUUCUUUCUAUAUCGACUACGGCCACAUCGAAACAUCCAUUGAACGGAGCUGCCGAUGUCCAUGUUCCAGAUCGUCCGUGCGUCCGGUCCGUACUUAUCGUUUUGCCGAUUUCCCUCUCGACUUUGGGGGCCAGCGGCAGAGAGGCAGAGGCAGGGGCAAGGGCCUUGGCCUUUGCUAUUGCGCUUUUCUUUCGAUUAUGGUUUGUUCCGAUAACAUUUCCUUUUUUUCUGUUUUUAUUUCUCCUUUUGCAAUUUCUUUCUUCUUCUCUUCGUCUCUUCUUUGCUCUGGGAGUUUUUUCCACUUUGUAAACUGCUUUGCUUCUACACGUAUUAACCAUUCCGCUAUCUGUGUUAUUUUCUUUCUUCCUUUUAUAUUUCCCGUUUCUCCUCCUUGUUCUCGCUUCUUCCCUUCACAUGCAUUGUCAUUACUUGCCGAUUUGCUUUGCUAUUCAUUUGAUAUGAAUGCUCCCCCUUUUAUUUUAUUUAUUUCUAUCCGGGGGGGUUUGCUGCUGCUCAUUAAGAGGGGCCUUUUUUACUCUCUUUCUAUUUUUUUUUUCUCCUCCCUCACACAAACUCAUUCUACUCUGCUCAUUUCUCCGUCCUUUCUUCAUCUGCUCUAUCAGUUCUGUUCUGUUUCGUUCCUUGUUUUAAAUUGUCUGCUUUUCAAAUUUUUUUUUUUUCUCCCUGAAGCAGAGCAGAUAGGACGAAAACCCUUUGUUUGUCCCCUUCCCCCCCCUUUUUUUUUUUUUUCCCCUUUUCACCUGCUUACAUGCACAUGCUCAUGGCUGCCUCUCCGGUUGUUAUGAGCAGAGACAAAAGAAAGGAAUGAGGGGAUGUUCUUUUCUUAUGAAGAAAUGAAAUGUAGAAAUAAACACACAAACACAGAAAAGAAAAGAAAAAUAACAUAAAUAAAUAAAGUGAAAAAUAAAAAAAAAAAAAAAAAAGGGUUGAAAGAAGUUUGUAUUGAAUGAAAUAUGUGAAUGAGAUAUAGAUAGAACAAUCAAUCAAUAAGUAAAGCAAAGCAAAUAAAUGCAAAAA
rnacentral:sRNA from 1 species